rnacentral:rRNA from 1 species
AGUCAAUAGAUCCCAGGAAGUCCACGCCCUAAACUAUGUCAACUAGGUGUUGGGUGGGUAAAACCAUUUAGUACGUAGCUAAACGCGUGAAAGUUGACCGCCUGGGGAGUACGGCCGCAAGGUUAAAACUCAAAGGAAUUGACGGGGACCCGCACAAGCGGUGGAUGAUGUGGAUUAAUUCGAUGCAACGCGAAAAACCUUACCUACCCUUGACAUGCCAGGAACUUGCCAGAGAUGGCUUGGUGCCCGAAAGGGAGCCUGGACACAGGUGCUGCAUGGCUGUCGUCAGCUCGUGUCGUGAGAUGUUGGGUUAAGUCCCGCAACGAGCGCAACCCUUGUCGUUAAUUGCCAUCAUUUGGCUGGGCACUUUAACGAGACUGCCGGUGACAAACCGGAGGAAGGUGGGGAUGACGUCAAGUCCUCAUGGCCCUUAUGGGUAGGGCUUCACACGUCAUACAAUGGUCGGUACAGAGGGUUGCCAAGCCGUGAGGCGGAGCCAAUCCCAGAAAGCCGAUCGUAGUCCGGAUUGCAGGCUGCAACUCG